GCGCCGGGAGGGGUGCUCUGGCCUGGGGUGUGCGCCUCGUUCCUUUCGAUAUCGGAGAUAGGUACACCCUUCCACCUCUGGGUUUCCUGUCCAUUGGGGCCGCGGAGUUAGGAGCCGCUCCGGGUAUCGAGACGGGCGGUGGCGACGUCUAACACGGGAGAUUUCCACCCCUACCCCCAGCCCCCAGUCAAGAUAGUCCCUCCUGGACGUGUAGCGUUCAGUCUUUAGGCUGCCCUGCCGCGGACCCCACCCCGCGUAGUGCCGGGACCCUAAACUCGGAGACUUCUAAGAGCCACACCACCAAUAUAACCUUGAGUCCUGGAGGUCAAUGAUGGGGUACCCCUAGCCUCAAUUCUUUGACGUCUCCACAAUCGUGGCUAGGGCUAGGAGGCUACAAAGAAGAGGCCUGACCGUGUGUGUUUGGGAGAGAUACAUUUCAGGCUCACUCAUGCCCCCUCCUCAACCCUUCCUUCACCUUGCGCCAUCCCCGCAGGCUAGAUAGCCGGUGUUACUCCCCUCUGCCCGCUAGAAUUUAUUGGAACGCCGAGCCGGGACUGACCUGCUCAGAGAAAGCAGAAAGAAGGAACGAGAGAGGGAGGGAGUGGCUGCCUGUGGGAACACUGGCUCUUCCAGGGAAGCGGAGCGGGACUGCCGCGUUCCCCUCGAUUUGCACCGUCACUCGGGCUGUUUGGAAGGAAGAGGGGAGGCGCUGUGCGCGACUCUGAGUACCUGGAUCUGGGUGCAGAAGUGUGCAUGAAUGCCUGUGCCGCUGUGUGUAACAACACACCUGCCUUCAAGGGGGUCUGGAAUGUCUGCCUGUGCGACAACGGAGGAAGAAUCGACGGAAUUUCUCUGGCUGUGGGUUGUGCUGCCUGUAUCCGAAUAAAUCCAGCUCGCAGACAUCCAGCAGGAAACGGCUCCUGGUUCCCGUGUAUGGAGAUGGUUUGGACUAGCACGGGACGCGGGGUGGCUCCUCGUGCUCAGUGCUCAUAAGGUGGCAGGUCUGGCCUCCGACGGGGGCUGGACUAUCAGCACCUUCAGGCCGAGCAGCCUCUCGCUGCCUCGCAGUGCCUGGCAGCACCCCGCCUCUGCGGGUGCUUCGGAAACCCAUCGGGGCCGAGUCCGCCCGGGGCGAAAACUGAAAGCAAAUUCCACGGCAGAUGAAGCUUGAACUUUCUCCGACGCAAGUUUGCAGCAGAGAUGUGGUAGCUUUGGGAGCACAUCACGCUUUAGCUCUGUGUGUGUGUGUGUGUGUGUGUGUGUGUGUGUGUGCGCGCGCGCGCGCGCGCGAAGUGGGGUGGUGGGCGAAGAGGGUACCGCGUGGCCGAGUUUGGUCCGAGGCAAAAUGAGAGGGAAGGCAUCUUCCCUUCCUUAUUUCUUGCCAACUCCUCAGCCCCUGCCCGUAAAAAUAGUUUCCAAGGUGCCACCGACGCUCAGGAUGUGUUGUGGAGAUUGCACCAGCGAGGAGGAGGCUUUGUAAAAGUUGCAGAAAGAGCUUUGCUCAGAAGCUUCCGCUCACCCGGGCUCGGGAAAGCUUGGGACCCACUCGCUUCCCUGGGGCGGAAAGAGCUCCUUGGAGAUCCCCCUGCCCUGUGCUCUCCCCUCACCUCGAAACCACAUGUGAAUAACCUCCCAUUGCCUGCACUGCAGACUUCCCGGUGCGGUUAGUGUGCGGGCGAGGCCUGGACGAAGAGGUGGCCGGCAAGGCCGCUCGUCCGCCGGCUCAGCCCAGCCCUGAGACAGGCUUCCGCAAAGGUGACAGGAUGAAUGUGGUUCCGAUUCCCACUUGGCUGCUCAGACCAUCACUGCCGACCUCCCAACUCCCCAGAGCAAGAGCUUCCCGGCUAGAGCGGUGGUCCUGGGGGGCUCGCGAGGGCGCAAAAUACGCGCGCGGGGCAGAGUGGGGGGGGCGGCCGCGGGUCUCUCCACGGGGCCUGUCGCCUGGCCGACCGCGGCGGGUGAGUGAUGAGGGCAGAGAAGGGCGCCCAUAAAUCGCGGGUGUCAGGGCGAAAAACUCUCUUUAUUGUCUGCGUGAUGGAUGGGCCCGGGGACGAGACACCAAAUACUUCGUAUCGCCUUUAAAUGGGAACACAUUUUCCGCGGCCAUAAUUCAUGUUUUUUAAAUAGAAAGUUUGAAAUGUUGCCUAUA